UGGAUCAUUGAGGAUGAAUUGUGCUCUAGGAGUUCUGAGUGAUGUUGAAUAUGUCUAGAACUGUGAGGUCUAA